rnacentral:rRNA from 1 species
GAUGAACGCUGGCGGCGUGCCUAAUACAUGCAAGUCGAGCGAACGGACGAGAAGCUUGCUCCUUUGAUGUUAGCGGCGGACGGGCGAGUAAGGCGUGGAUAACCAACUUAUAUUUCUGGGAGAAUAUCGGGAAAACGGAGCUAAUACUGGAUAAUACUUUGAACCGCAUGGAUCAAAAGUGAAAGACGGUCUUGCCGUUUCUUUUAGAUGGAUCCGGGCUGUAUUAGCUAGUUGGUAAGGUAACGGCUUACCAAGGCAACGAUGCAUAGCCGAGCUGAGAGGGUGAUCAGCCACACUGGAACUGAGACACGGUCCAGACUCCUACGGGAGGCAGCAGUAGGGAAUCUUCCGCAAUGGGCGCAAGCCUGACGGAGCCACGCCGCGUGAGUGAUGAAGGUCUUCGGGUCGUAAAGCUCUGUUGUUAGGGAAGAACAUAUGUGUAAGUAACUGUGCACAUCUUGACGGUACCUAAUCAGAAAGCCACGGCUAACUACGUG